CAAGGAGUUUGAUUCAAGACUUGGUUUGCGCAAUUUGAGCCCGAAUCGAGAGAAAACUUGACUGAAAUGGUUCGGCACCGUCGCAGCAACUUUUUCGGCCAUUCACACCGUUUUCAGCAACUUGAGGCUUCAAGUUGGAUUUUCCGACCACCGCGCACGGUGGUCGGUGGCGGCAAUCCAGUGACCGGCCAAGAUGCUCCGGCAAGGCUCCAGAGGCAGAAUCUUCUCCUCUUCAUGUUGAUGUCAAAUAUUUAAUCCAAUUUUUCAUUGGUAAUAGGAGGAAAGAAGAGCCCUAUAUACCCGACCGAGUCGAAAUACAAAUAUAUUAAAAUUACUAAUAGCUGUAUUAAGCAUGUAAAUGAAAAGGACUGUAAUUUAUAGAGUUUCGCAAUUGUAUUCUAAAUGGGUUGUAAUUGAAUAAUAUGGGU